rnacentral:misc_RNA from 1 species
AAGUCGUAACAAGAAUCAUUAACACAUAUCCAACGUUAAACCCCCUUGUGAACUUUUAUACUUGCUCUCGUGAACAGAUUUUGAUUCCUCAGUUUGGUAGUUUCGAUCGAGCGAUCGUAAAGUGUCAUUGAUUGUGUAAGGAUAACGCUUUUCGAUCACCAGAGGCCGAACACCGGCCGGUGACCAGGUCGCCGUGGCUUCGGCCCCCUAUAUUCACCCCACUACCAACUUUCGCCUCGUAGGAAACUGCUGGGCAACAAAACGAACAACUGUUAACAAUGGAUAUCUUGGUUCUC